GGGGGUGAAGAUUGGGUUCGACGGCAGACAGAGGUUAAGCUCUUGCAGGCCGUUUGCUUGCGUUCCGUUAAACGCAAGAGUAAAAUUAAACGCCGAAGAUCUCGCAUUAGCUGCGUAAAAAACACGCAGGCUUGCUUGUGCUGACACCUUCUAAGCACAAGUGGGUAAAGAAACAGAAGGUGUAGGGUUUUGCCAUAUCCUUCAGGCAAAACCCGAAAAAAAAGCGAAGGAUAGGUUACCCAAAAGUUUGUCGGUUUGUCUUUGGGUAACCGAAAAUGAAAACCGACUAAGCCUGUAGUAAGACUUGGCUUCGUCUGCCGGACGUGGGUUCAACUCCCACCACCUCCACCA
rnacentral:tmRNA from 1 species